UUCUGAAUGUUUAGUCGGGAUCUCUUUUCUUGCAACUUGAAGCCAUUGCCUUGAGUCCUACCCUCCAGAAAAGAAGCUUGCUCCCUCUUCCAUGUAACGGCCCUUGAGAUAUUUGAAGAUGGCUACCAUAUCUCCUCUCAGUCUCCUCUUUUCCAGGCUAAACAGACCCACUGACAGAGAGCUGGACUGCUGUGAAGAUGCUGGAAGGCUUU